GUGAACUGCCAAGUCCAGUUUCUAGGACCAUUGCACUUUUAAGUGUCUAAUGGUGUUCAGAAGCCCAGAAUAAUUUCAGUCUGUGCAUAUUUGGAAACUAGUUCCUGUUUACUGGAAUUUUACUAGUCUCAAGUAAUUUUCAAAAGCCUUUCAUCACAGCAUGGAUGUGGUCCUCCCCCUCUACUCAGUCCUGAUGAGGCACAUCUGAGUGCUGUUCUGAAUGUCUGGUUCUGGACUCCUCAGGACAAGAGAGACAUGGAGCUCCUGGAGCAGUCCACCGUUGUUUACGCUCUUGGGCCUGAAACUUCGAUCAUUAGUCCUUGGUCCCCAGCUAGAAAUGGAAUUGUUCUGUCUACCUACUCUGGGAAGAGAGCUUAAUAUCCUCUAAAUGAAGCUCAUAAGUACACACUAAAGCAGCACAGAACCUGAAAAAUAUAAAAGCUAAAACUUAAGGCAUGAGUACAACCAUGUCCUGUUGCUGUAAUUCAAAUAAUUCCUUGGUUUCCUUGCAUUUCAGGGCAUCUGUUGAAACUUAAAUUCUUCAUCCCCGAAUACUAACAGAUAUGGCUGCCAAAAUAAACACGGAGUGGCUUAAAAUUAA